GCGGGGAUAGCUCAAUGGUAGAGCUCCGGCCUUCCAAGCCGGUGAUGCGGGUUCGAUUCCCGUUCCCCGCUCCA
rnacentral:tRNA from 2 species